UAGGGAAUCUUCCACAAUGGACGCAAGUCUGAUGGAGCAACGCCGCGUGAGUGAAGAAGGUUUUCGGACCGUAAAGCUCUGUUGUUGGUGAAGAAGGAUAGAGGUAGUAACUGGCCUUUAUUUGACGGUAAUCAACCAGAAAGUCACGGCUAACUACGUGCCAGCAGCCACGGUAAUACGUAGGUGGCAAAGCGUUGUCCGGAUUUAUUGGGCGUAAAGCGAGCGCAGGCGGAAGAAUAAGUCUGAUGUGAAAGCCCUCGGCUUAACCGAGGAAUUGCAUCGGAAACUGUUUUUCUUGAGUGCAGAAGAGGAGAGUAGAACUCCAUGUGUAGCGGUGGAAUGCGUAGAUAUAUGGAAGAAUACCAGUGGCGAAGGCGGCUCUCUGGUCUGCAACUGACGCUGAGGCUCGAAAGCAUGGGUAGCGAACAGGAUUAGAUACCCUGGUAGUCCAUGCCGUAAAACGAUGAGUGCUAAGUGUUGGGAGGCUUCCGCCUCUCAGUGCUGCAGCUAACGCAUUAAGCACUCCGCCUGGGGGAGUACGACCGCAAGGUUGAAAC
rnacentral:rRNA from 1 species